rnacentral:tRNA from 1 species
GGGGUGUGGCGCAGCUUGGUAGCGCGCGUCGUUCGGGACGACGAGGCCGCAGGUUCAAAUCCUGUCACCCC